rnacentral:rRNA from 1 species
UGGGGAAUAUUGCACAAUGGGCGCAAGCCUGAUGCAGCCAUGCCGCGUGUGUGAAGAAGGCCUUCGGGUUGUAAAGCACUUUCAGCGAGGAGGAAGGUGGUGGACUUAAUACGUUCAUCAAUUGACGUUACUCGCAGAAGAAGCACCGGCUAACUCCGUGCCAGCAGCCGCGGUAAUACGGAGGGUGCAAGCGUUAAUCGGAAUUACUGGGCGUAAAGCGCACGCAGGCGGUUUGUUAAGUCAGAUGUGAAAUCCCCGGGCUCAACCUGGGAACUGCAUUUGAAACUGGCAAGCUAGAGUCUCGUAGAGGGGGGUAGAAUUCCAGGUGUAGCGGUGAAAAUGCGUAGAGAUCUGGAGGAAUACCGGUGGCGAAGGCGGCCCCCUGGACGAAGACUGACGCUCAGGUGCGAAAAGCGUGGGGAGCAAAACAGGAUUAGAUACCCUGGUAGUCCACGCUGUAAAACGAUGUCGAUUUUGGAGGUUGUGCCCUUGAGGCGUGGCUUCCGGAGCUAACGCGUUAAAUCGACCGCCUGGGGAGUACGGCC